UAGGAAAUCUUCGGCAAUGGGGGCAACCCUGACCGAGCAACGCCGCGUGAGUGAAGAAGGUUUUCGGAUCGUAAAGCUCUGUUGUAAGUCAAGAACGGGUGUGAGAGUAGAAAGUUCACACUGUGACGGUAGCUUACCAGAAAGGGACGGCUAACUACGUGCCAGCAGCCGCGGUAAUACGUAGGUCCCGAGCGUUGUCCGGAUUUAUUGGGCGUAAAGCGAGCGCAGGCGGUUUGAUAAGUCUGAAGUUAAAGGCUGUGGCUCAACCAUAGUUCGCUUUGGAAACUGUCAAACUUGAGUGCAGAAGGGGAGAGUGGAAUUCCAUGUGUAGCGGUGAAAUGCGUAGAUAUAUGGAGGAACACCGGUGGCGAAAGCGGCUCUCUGGUCUGUAACUGACGCUGAGGCUCGAAAGCGUGGGGAGCGAACAGGAUUAGAUACCCUGGUAGUCCACGCCGUAAACGAUGAGUGCUAGGUGUUGGAUCCUUUCCGGGAUUCAGUGCCGCAGCUAACGCAUUAAGCACUCCGCCUGGGGAGUACGACCGCAAGGUUGAAGC
rnacentral:rRNA from 1 species